rnacentral:rRNA from 1 species
UACGGAGGGUGCAAACGUUGCUCGGAAUCAUUGGGCGUAAAGCGCACGUAGGCGGUUCGUUAAGUCGGAUGUGAAAGCCCCGGGCUCAACCCGGGAAGGGCAUUCGAAACUGGCGGACUUGAAUAUGGAAGAGGGUCGCGGAAUUCCCGGUGUAGAGGUGAAAUUCGUAGAUAUCGGGAGGAACACCAGUGGCGAAGGCGGCGACCUGGGCCAAUAUUGACGCUGAGGUGCGAAAGCGUGGGGAGCAAACAGG